rnacentral:rRNA from 1 species
AGAGUUUGAUCAGUGGCUCAGAAUGAACGUUGGCGGCGUGGAUUAGGCAUGCGAGUCGUGCGAGAACCGUAGCAAUACGGGGACAGCGGACGAAGGGAGAGGAACACGUGGAUACCUACCCUCAGGUUCAGGAUAGCUAUGGGAAACUAUAGGUAAUACUGAAUAAUAUCUCCGGAUCAAAGGUGUGAUUCCGCCGGAGGAGGGGUCCGCGUCCUAUUAGCUAGUUGGUGAGGUAAUGGCUCACCAAGGCGAAGAUGGGUACGGGAUGUGAGAACAUGAUCCCGCUCAUUGGGACUGAGACACUGCCCAGACACCUACGGGUGGCUGCAGUCGAGAAUCUUCGGCAAUGGGGGAAACCCUGACCGAGCGACGCCGCGUGUGAGAUGAAGGCCUUCGGGUUGUAAAUCACUGUCGUAGAGGAGGAAGUGUAGGUGGGUUCUCCCACUUAUUUGACCUAUUCUAGGAGGAAGGACGGGCUAAGUUCGUG